CAAAAUAAUUCAGGCAAAACCGGUCUUUUGUUAAAAGGAAGACUGGUUAAUAGAAAUUGGUCGCUUUGAGUAAUUUUAUCGUGUGGCGUCAUCGACCGUGUCGUUGAACAAUGAAAACAUUUGUUGUGAAAUUAGCGAAGAUAAAAUAGCAUUUUGUGAGAAAGCUGCGAAUUUAUGGCGCGGGAGGUUUUCGGAUUCGAACUCAGCGUGCUUGAAAGUGUUAGUUCCCGUAAAAAUAUUUCAGUUCCAAGACAUGCUUAAUGAAAGUGAACGAUAUCAGGGCGCAGCAAACGGCCUAAAAAUACAUGAAAAAUUUAAAUAAAAUAUAAAACCACGCACGAGCGUUUGAAUGAUUUCUUUCAAGAGUCGCACGCUUCGCUUACUGCUUUUUUGUUUACUUUUGACUUUUCGCGAACAACCCGUCGAACUGUUGUUUUAAAAAUACACAGCUCGUCAGCUUUGAAAAUAUUUCAAAAACAGGCCAAAACAGUCAUGAUAUUAAACAGUCAUGAUAUUAUAAGAGGACAAAAAAGGAAAAACAGACUUAAUUAAAAGUCCAGAAGACAGAACUGUAAAAAAUAUGGUUUCCCGGUUGCAGUAGUUUACGUUAAAAAGAAGUAGCUAUAAAAUGCACGCAAAGCAAUCCUAAUGUCGUUGAAAUCGAUGAGUAAAAAAAAGUAAAAAAUAGUUAACAAAAGUAAAAAAAAGUUUACUGAAAAGUUAGAUUAGGGUUAGGGGUUAGGUGCCGCGAAUUUACAUGCCAUAUUGAUAAAUUCGUACGUGUUUAACAAUUUAUACUCAUAUAGUAAAUUCCAGCAUGAGCUUCACCUUUGAAUUUACUAUAUGAGUAAAUUCUUUAACAUGUCCGAAUUUAUUAAUAUGAUAAAUUCGCGGCACCUAACCACUAACCCCAACCCCCCCC